UACGUAGGUGGCGAGCGUUGUCCGGAUUUACUGGGCGUAAAGCGCGCGCAGGCGGCAGUCUAAGUCCUCUGUGAAAUCCCCGGGCUUAACCUGGGAAUGGCGAUGGAGACUGCAAGGCUAGAGUUUGGCAGAGGGGGGUAGAAUUCCACGUGUAGCAGUGAAAUGCGUAGAGAUGUGGAGGAACACCGAUGGCGAAGGCAGCCCCCUGGGUCAAAACUGACGCUCAUGCACGAAAGCGUGGGGAGCAAACAGG
rnacentral:rRNA from 1 species